rnacentral:piRNA from 1 species
UCAUAGGAGUUGCCUCCGAGGCUGUGUGA